GAUGAACGCUCGCUACAGGCUUAACACAUGCAAGUCGCGGGGCAGCAUGGGGGUUGCUUGCAAUCCCCGAUGGCGACCGGCGCACGGGUGAGUAACGCGUAUCCAACCUGCCCUUCACCACGGGAUAACCCGGCGAAAGUCGGACUAAUACCGUAUGUUGUCCAUUGACGGCAUCCGAUUUGGACGAAAGGUUUGGCGGUGAAGGAUGGGGAUGCGUCCGAUUAGCUGGACGGCGGGGUGACGGCCCACCGUGGCGACGAUCGGUAGGGGUUCUGAGAGGAAGGUCCCCCACACUGGAACUGAGACACGGUCCAGACUCCUACGGGAGGCAGCAGUGAGGAAUAGUGGUCAAUGGGCGUAAGCCUGAACCAGCCAAGUAGCGUGCAGGAGGACGGCCCUAUGGGUUGUAAACUGCUUUUAUGCGGGGAUAAAGUGGCCCACGUGUGGGUUUUUGCAGGUACCGCAUGAAUAAGGACCGGCUAAUUCCGUG
rnacentral:rRNA from 1 species